UGUUUUUGAGAUUGAAAAACUAGGAAAGACCUUGCAGUCGUUGCAUCUGAAUGUAAUAGCUUCCCAGCAGAAACGCAAAAUGGUUCUUGUUCAGCUAGAACAGCAGAUAACACAGCUUGAAAAGGACCUUACAGAUGCCAGGAAACUUUGUAGUCAGAAAGAUCAGGUAUGCUCUUGUGAUGAGAAAAAAACCCAAGCAAAACAGUUAUCUCUAAAAAAAAUCACAUCGCAAAAGAGGGUGGAAGAAGCUCGGAUGUGUACCAUUUCAUAUAUAUUUGUUAUGAAUUCCAAAGGAGGAGAGGAAAAAAGCAACACUAUUUUAUCACAAAUUUUGAAAUAUGCAAAAGAGAUGACCUUCUGAAAAAAUCCAAAGCGGCUCUCCUUCAGGCAAGGGAAGAUAUCAAAGCUGAAGUGGCUGAGGUGGAGCACUCUGACAGACUGGUCAAGCUGGUGAAAGCAACUGCCGAGGACACUCAGAGAGAGAAAGCCAUCCUAUUUAGAGCUGAAAUUCGGCAGCCCAAGAAUUUGCCAGUCAGGAUGAAAAACUUCUAAUGGAAUCCAGCUUGAAAGACUGUCAAGGGCUGCUAAGUGAGCAAGAGGCAGAAACACUUCGCCCAGACCAGUAGAAAAAUCAGAGGCAGAGCUGAAGCCACUGAGAAAACGCAUUAUAGAUUCUCAUGAAGAAAUUCGUGAUUACAAUGUUUCCAUAUGUUCCAAAUGAUAUCAAGGAUCUUGAUGGCUUUCUGAGUUGCAUCAUAUACUGGUUGCUAGAACCUGGAGGGGAGGGGGCACCAAUUCUCAGCACGUGUUCAUUUGGGGCAUUCCCUGUGCCAACAGAGGAGCGAUUUCAGCGUGCAAAACCAGACGUGGUCUGACUGGUGACGGGCUGGAGCAGCAAGCAGUUUUGAGCAGGGAAAUACAAAUGCAGUUCCAAGAGUCCAAAGUCAAAGCAUGAUGAGUUGAACAGAGUACAGAGUACAAAAGAAAAGCCAAGAAGUAGUCCGAGGGUCAGGGUCCAAGGCAAAGGUCUGAUAAGCACGCCAAGGUGUACAGAAUUCAGAAAAGAACUUAUAACAGGCAUAUUUUUUGACUUCAGAUGCUCACCACAAACCUGGAAGCAAAUACAGUGAAUCUGAGAUGGUGGAAGAUCACUUCAUUAAUGGCCUGAAGCAUUGGGAGGGUUAAGAGCACAAAUUAUUAUCUAAUCUGGAGGAACCAGAGCACAAAUCCAAGAGGAAUAAUAUUCUGCCUGCAGGGAGGACCCAUACAAAAACAGCUGCUUUCAUCAGAAGAGGGCACUUGACUUGGAACCUUCCAAUAUUUGGUGGUUAGACACAGACCCUAAGGCAGCCAUUUGGAUGUUGGCUGUCCCCACCAUCUUGAUAGCCAUUUGAUAGUGGUGCUCACUCAACAUACUCAAAAUUCCAAAAGUGCCCACUUACUCAACAAGAUUAAGGUCACCUGGUUUAUUAUAAUUGACAGCUGCUCUGCAGUAUCUUUCACAAUAAUCUGAGUUCUGCAUGCAAGCAGAUGCUCUGCCAUUGAAUCAGACCCUGUCCUUGGGGCUUUUGCUCCAGUGUGGCUUAGAAGCACAAAAAACCCUUUCAUAAGUUGUGCAGUUCCUUUGGAGGAGUUGACUGUAUCCAUGCCUGCUGACCUGGCUAUUACCAGCUGAUAUAUUAACUGCAUAUGAAGAGUAGAAAUGAAUGCAACCAUAAAAUCCUAGAGCAGGGGUGUUUGUUACAAGGGCCGGAUAUGACAUAAAUGUGACUUGGCUGGGCUCAGGGGGUGGGGGGCUGGCUGCCUCAGUUGGUCCCAGAAUGACAAAGGGGAGAAGGGUGUGUACUUGAACUGGCAAGCCUGCAGCAGGGUGGCUGCCUUGAGAGGGCUUAUCAGGCCUGCCAGCCAGCUGAGGCAACCCCACAUACCCAGUGGACUUGCCAGGUCAGAAAGAAGUGAGGA